ACAUGCAAGUCGAGCGAACGGACGAGAAGCUUGCUUCUCUGAUGUUAGCGGCGGACGGGUGAGUAACACGUGGAUAACCUACCUAUAAGACUGGGAUAACUUCGGGAAACCGGAGCUAAUACCGGAUAAUAUUUUGAACCGCAUGGUUCAAAAGUGAAAGACGGUCUUGCUGUCACUUAUAGAUGGAUCCGCGCUGCAUUAGCUAGUUGGUAAGGUAACGGCUUACCAAGGCAACGAUGCAUAGCCGACCUGAGAGGGUGAUCGGCCACACUGGAACUGAGACACGGUCCAGACUCCUACGGGAGGCAGCAGUAGGGAAUCUUCCGCAAUGGGCGAAAGCCUGACGGAGCAACGCCGCGUGAGUGAUGAAGGUCUUCGGAUCGUAAAACUCUGUUAUUAGGGAAGAACAUAUGUGUAAGUAACUGUGCACAUCUUGACGGUACCUAAUCAGAAAGCCACGGCUAACUACGUGCCAGCAGCCGCGGUAAUACGUAGGUGGCAAGCGUUAUCCGGAAUUAUUGGGCGUAAAGCGCGCGUAGGCGGUUUUUUAAGUCUGAUGUGAAAGCCCACGGCUCAACCGUGGAGGGUCAUUGGAAACUGGAAAACUUGAGUGCAGAAGAGGAAAGUGGAAUUCCAUGUGUAGCGGUGAAAUGCGCAGAGAUAUGGAGGAACACCAGUGGCGAAGGCGACUUUCUGGUCUGUAACUGACGCUGAUGUGCGAAAGCGUGGGGAUCAAACAGGAUUAGAUACCCUGGUAGUCCACGCCGUAAACGA
rnacentral:rRNA from 1 species